CCCGGUUGGAUUUCAACACCCCUCGUAGUACUCGAGUUCUUUGUGGUACAGCUCCAAGCGGGGAGUAUUCGUCGUUCCCUGUCCUCUACCUGAAGUGCGGGAGCUGCAUUAUUUACAGACCCGUCAGAGUAUCCUAUAACGCCUGCUCUAUGACGGUCGUGGAUCCGAACAAUAUCGACCCAUGCUGCAUGGAAAUGUACGACUACCUGUGUGGCCCCACGAGAGUUCCGGUGUACGACAAAUGCGCAUGCGCCGACGUGUACGCCGUCAUCUUGUAGUCUCUUCAAAACUGUGCAGGAGACUGGAAAUAAUAAAAUUUCCUGGUAUUG